CCCGUCCAAGUCCAUGGCUUCCAUUCUUUCAAAUACAGGAGCUCUGGGAGAGGUCAAUGGAAAAUGUUGGCCCUAACUCGUGAAAUCGACCUUGUGGCGAAGUCAGCCGAUUUUUCGCAGAGAGAAAUGGACGAGCAAUGAAACG